rnacentral:rRNA from 1 species
AUUGAACGCUGGCGGCAUGCUUUACACAUGCAAGUCGAACGGCAGCGCGGGCUUCGGCCUGGCUGCGCGUGGCGAACGGGUGAGUAAUGCAUCGGAACGUGCCCAGUAUUGGGGUAUAGUCCGGCCAAAGCCGGAUUAAUACCGCAUACUACCUGCUGGUGAUAGCGGGGGACCGAAAGGCCUCGCGCUAUUGUAGCGACCGAUGUCGGAUUUGCUAGUUGGUGGGGUAAAGGCUUGCCUAGGCGACGAUCCGUAGCUGGUCUGAGAGGACGACCAGCCACACUGGGACUGAGACACGGCCCAGACUCCUACGGGAGGCAGCAGUGGGGAAUUUUGGACAAUGGGGGCAACCCUGAUCCAGCCAUGCCGCGUGCGGGAAGAAGGCCUUCGGGUUGUAAACCGCUUUUGUUCGGGAAGAAAUCCUCUGGGCUAAUACCCCGGGGGGAUGACGGUACCGGAAGAAUAAGCACCGGCUAACUACGUG